rnacentral:rRNA from 1 species
UACGUAGGGUGCAAGCGUUAUCCGGAAUUAUUGGGCGUAAAGAGCUCGUAGGCGGUUUGUCGCGUCUGCCGUGAAAACUGGAGGCUCAACCUCCAGCCUGCGGUGGGUACGGGCAGACUAGAGUGUGGUAGGGGAGACUGGAAUUCCUGGUGUAGCGGUGGAAUGCGCAGAUAUCAGGGAGGAACACCGAUGGCGAAGGCAGGUCUCUGGGCCACUACUGACGCUGAGAAGCGGAAAGCAUGGGG